GCUUUACUGUAAAUUUUUUAAUUAUUAUAAUAUCAGUGUAUACAAAUAUGUAAGUACGUAUGAAAUGAUACACUUCACGCUUAAAUAUUUUUAAAACAAAACUUGUUCUUGGUUACGACGUACUACUUACAUACAUACGUAGAUCUAUUGCGUUAGUUUAGUUUGAGCAAGAUAAGUACAAAUUUAAAUAAAUUAAUACCUUACUGCGAUACCCCUUUCACAAAAAAAUAUCUGAAAUAAAAGUUUACGAGCAUUUUUGUUUUAUCAAUUUUAGCAGAAUAUAAUAAUAAGUGCGUUUAUAUAAAAAAUUGUGGAAGGUGUUAAUCAUCUGCGUAAAAGUCUAUUAGAUUGUUUCGAAAUUAUUAAAUGUCAAUACAUCAUAUGUUAUUUCGUAUCACGUGAUUGAGUAAAACGUUUACAGUGCAUGAAACGUAUUCUGUCAAACAAUACCUUCGUGCAAAGUAUCUUAUUAAUAAAUGUAUAAAACAAUUUCAAUAGCCAAAAAUAGUUUUAGACAAUUUUCCUAUGCCAGGUGUAAAAAUAUAUUUGUUUCUUUGCAAAAUAUGAGUUCUGUUACACAAGAUAAUCCAAUAGAACUAUCAAUAAGGAAGAAACUAAUGCAUUCUUUAAAUCCAUAUCAUAUUGAAGUAAUAAAUGAGUCUUAUAUGCAUAAUGUACCCAAAGGAUCUGAGACACAUUUCAAAGUAGUUGUUGUAUCCACCUUAUUUAUAGAUAAACCACUUCUCAAGCGCCAUCAAAUGAUAAAUAACAUACUGCAAGCUGAAUUGAAAAGCGGAGUGCAUGCAUUAUCAAUAGUAGCGAAAACGCCAGAUCAGUGGGAAGACAACAGUAAAAUUACUCCAAGUCCAGCUUGUAGGGGAGGUUUUGGAAGAUGAUUCUUUAAAAUCAUGUAAUAAAAGUAGUAGCCAAAGUUAAAAAAACCAAGCUACAAAUUUUUAAAUUCAAAUUAGUACGUUUCGUGAAAAAUAUUUAAUGAAAAUCGUAAAUUAAGAGUAAAAAACGAAAUAAAAAGUUACAUUAAUGUCAUAAAGCAAAAUUAUCCAGUCUUAGCUUCCCCUCAUUUUCUGUGAAAUAAAGUACAUCAGCAAGAGAUUGUUCAGCUAUGGCUUCUUCUGCUCUAUCGAACAUCUGUAAAGCAUACAUUAUUUAUAAAGCAGGUGAACAUUUAAAAUUUGGCCCAAAGUUUACAGAAACUGUAGCACUUUUAUGAAUAGAAACUGUAGGAUAAUAGGCUCCUUUAUUGAUGUCGAGAAACGCUUCGCCCUGACUGACGCCAUUUUUAUAAAAUACAAUUUUACUGCCUUCUAGAGGUUUUAGAGCCUUAAGUGCUUCAGGUACUUGAUCCUUUUCUUCAUAGUAAAGAUGACUUUUAAAUUUUACUAAAGGCUGACAUGUAAAUAUAUUUGUAUUACAUUUGUGUGAG